rnacentral:rRNA from 1 species
CACAUCUCCAGUCACACCCUGCACUGGGGUUUGGGCGAGAUCCACAAGCCAAGCAGGGUUGGGCCUGGUCAGUACAUGGAUGGGCGACCUGCCAGGAGAACACAGUGGUGCUGUCU